rnacentral:rRNA from 1 species
AACGAACGCUGGCGGCAGGCUUAACACAUGCAAGUCGAACGCCCCGCAAGGGGAGCGGCGGACGGGUGAGUAACGCGUGGGAAUCUACCGUACCCUACGGAAUAGCUCCGGGAAACUGGAAUUAAUACCGUAUACGCCCUACGGGGGAAAGAUUUAUCGGGGUAUGAUGAGCCCGCGUUGGAUUAGCUAGUUGGUGGGGUAAAGGCCUACCAAGGCGACGAUCCAUAGCUGGUCUGAGAGGAUGAUCAGCCACGUUGGGACUGAGACACGGCCCAAACUCCUACGGGAGGCAGCAGUGGGGAAUAUUGGACAAUGGGCGCAAGCCUGAUCCAGCCAUGCCGCGUGAGUGAUGAAGGUCUUAGGAUUGUAAAGCUCUUUCACCGAUGAAGAUAAUGACGGUAGUCGGAGAAGAAGCCCCGGCUAACUUCGUGCCAGCCGCCGCCGUAA